CCAAAAUAUGCACACAUCACUCCUAUUCUGAGGUCUCUACAUUGGCUACCGGUGACACAAAGAAUCGAAUUUAAAAUCCUUUUCUUUGUGUAUAAAGCCCUACAUGGUCUAGGCCCUCAUUAUUUAUCCCAACUGAUUGUUAAUUACACUCCUCCAAGACACUUGCGUUCCGCUGAUCAGUUUUUAUUAAAAGUUCCAAAGGUCAACAUACACUUAUAAACACAAAACAACACAAUAUUGAAACCUUGCAUGUAAACUUGCACACACUUCCAGCUACUCCCACUCUUAACUAGCUAACAUUUGUGGGACCUCGCAUAUAAAACAAAACAAUUUG
rnacentral:lncRNA from 1 species